rnacentral:rRNA from 1 species
UAACAUGUUGAACCGCAUGGUUCUACAGUGAAAGACGGUCUUGCUGUCACUUAUAGAUGGACCCGCGCCGUAUUAGCUAGUUGGUGGGGUAACGGCCUACCAAGGCGACGAUACGUAGCCGACCUGAGAGGGUGAUCGGCCACACUGGAACUGAGACACGGUCCAGACUCCUACGGGAGGCAGCAGUAGGGAAUCUUCCGCAAUGGGCGAAAGCCUGACGGAGCAACGCCGCGUGAGUGAUGAAGGUCUUCGGAUCGUAAAGCUCUGUUGUUAGGGAAGAACAAAUGUGUAAGUAACUGUGCACAUCUUGACGGUACCUAACCAGAAAGCCACGGCUAACUACGUGCCAGCAGCCGCGGUAAUACGUAGGUGGCAAGCGUUAUCCGGAAUUAUUGGGCGUAAAGCGCGCGUAGGCGGUUUUUUAAGUCUGAUGUGAAAGCCCACGGCUCAACCGUGGAGGGUCAUUGGAAACUGGAAAACUUGAGUGCAGAAGAAGAAAGUGGAAUUCCAUGUGUAGCGGUGAAAUGCGCAGAGAUAUGGAGGAACACCAGUGGCGAAAGCGGCUUUCUGGUCUGCAACUGACGCUUAUGUGCGAGAGCGUGGGGAUCAAACAGGAUUAGAUACCCUGGUAGUCCACGCCCUAAACGAUGAGUGCUAAAUGUUAUGGGGGUGUCCCCCCCUUAAUGCUGCAGCUAACGCAUUAAACACUCCCUCCGGGGGAGUACGGUCGCAAGACUGAAACUCAAAGGA